GUUGUUAAAGUAGCUGUUUGGACCGGACAGAAUACCACUGUAUACCCCUGUAUAUAGCCUCGUUAUUGUUAUUCUUGUGUUACUUUUAAUUAUUUAUUUUGGUGUACUUGGUAAAUAUUUUCUUCUUGAACUGCACUGUUGGUGAAGGGCUUGUAAGUAAGCAUUUCACGGUAAACUCUACACUUGUUGCAUUUGGUGCAUGUGACAAAUAAUGUUAAAAUUGGAUUUGAUGUGACCUAGGCACUCUAUUGAUGUUUUUAACCAUUGCUCACGGGUCGGAUGAGCAGUGACGGUUCACAACUUCAAUAUAAAGGAGACCUACUAAGGUUGUCACAGUUUUUUGUGAAGAAGUCAUGUGUCAGAUGGAUGUGAUUCCUGUGUUGACUGUAAAACCAUGGAGAGCCCUCUUUGAUGAGAAGUUCCAUGUGGUUGUGGGGAACUUACCACCGACACAGGAGGUCACACUACAUUCUUUACAUCAGUCAGAAGACACAGACUACUGGGAGGCGUUUGGGCACUAUGUCAGUGAUGCUCAGGGAAGGGUCACAGUCUUCAAGGAUCCAAGUGUAGGGGGGACAUAUGAGGGUGUUGAGCCCAUGGGUCUGAUGUGGAGCAUGAGACCAAUACCUGGCAGUAGACCGGAACUCAGGUGGAGGAAGAAGGAGGUCCACACUCCCAUGGUGGUGCACAUCUCUGUGUACAGGGGACACAUGAGUCAGGGUUUCAGGGAGCAGGUGGCCCUGGCGAGUGUCGUCACAGAGCGCUGGUACAUGGCCCCCGGAGUCCGCCGGGUCGACAUCACAGAGGGAGGGGUCACAGGUACCCUGUUCCUGCCACCAGGUCCCGGACCAUUCCCUGGAGUUUUAGACAUGUGGGGAGGUAGUGGCGGCCUGGUGGAAUAUAGAGCUGCUCUCUUGGCAUCCCACGGCUUUGCUGCCAUGGCGCUACUUUACGUCUUCCCAGACCAAAAUAAAAAUGCUACCAUUGGCUACCCUUACUUUGAGGCUGCAUUCAGACUACUGCAGGAUCACCCUCUAGUGGCCGCUGACAGAAUUGCGCUGCUUGGUCUUUCCCUUGGUGUUACAGUGGUUCUAUCCAUCACUGCUUACUCAGAAGCUGUCAAACCUAGAUGUUGUGUGUGCAUCAGUGGCAGCCAUGCGUGUCGAAUUGGAGCCACCCAGUCCGUUGAGGAAACAUCUCAGGGUAUACACAAAAAAUAUGCAAAGGCCCGUACUGAUGAGGAGAAUCGCAUCAUCUGGAGGGACGUUCUUUUACCUAUUCCAGAAGAUAUAGACCUGAAAGUGGAAGAGGACAGGACGAUAAGGACCUCUAAAAGAUUACGCUGGAGAACUCAACCAAUACUGAGAACAGUUUCACACUUUCUCCAGUCCUAUCAGGAUCCUCCAGUAUCUCACAAGAUUGAGGGCUCAGAAGUAUUGUUGUAUCCGUCUGUCACGUUCUUUCAAAAUCGAACCCAGAAGCAGACCAGGACAAGGAGAGUAGGAAGAAGGUGAGUAUUUAUUUACAAGUGAAUAUGAAUGGGUAGAUAUAUCCAGGUGGCGUAGCGGGCAGCGGUGGUGAGUUGAUGGGAGUAAAUAGGUGGAUCCAAUGGGGUAGCGGAAUUCUCCGACGACCAGGCGGGAAUGGGGUAAAUGAUCCGGGUGAGUAACUGAAGACAGAACAAACGGAGGUAAGUUUAAGGCAAGCAAUACGUAAAAAACAACAAAACAAAUUCUAUCUAACUUGAGGCUGAUACUAUGGCACGACAUACUGUUCAUGGCUAACGAUCCGGCAGGGAAUGGAUGUCAGGUCAGAGCUUUUGAAGGGGAGAGGUGAUGAUCAGGACAGGUGUGCAGAUUGCUGAUGGGAUACAGGGGCGGGUGAACAUCGAUCUCCCAACAAGCUAAUUCGCCCGGCAACCAGACAGGGUGCGUUCCAGGACUCCGGAAACACACUCCAGGACAGAAACACAGGCAAACACAGACUCAGGAAGCGGGAUCCGUGACAGUACCCCCCCCUGCCACGAACGCCACCGGGCGGACUACCUGGAGCACCAGGGUGGAGGCGGUAGAAGUCACGAAGCAGGUCGUCAUCAAGGAUCUGACACCGAGGAAUCCAUAUCCUUCCCAAUCCACGAGAUAUUGGAAACCUUGACCCCGCCGUCUGGAAUCCAUUAUGCGGCGCACCGUGUAGGCAGGACCACGUCCGAUCAUCCGAGGAGGAGGAGGAUGAGGAGGAGGGGGCAACAGAGGACUGAGGAGAACCGGCUUGAGGCAGGAGACAUGAAAGGUGGGGUGUACUCGAAGCGUUGCCGGCAAUUUGAGUCAGACCACAACAGGGUUAAUGAUUCUCUCCACCACAAACGGACCAAUGAACUUUGGUGACAGUUUCCUCGACUCAGUCCAUAGUGGAAGAUCCCGUGUAGCCAACCAAACCUUAUCUCCGAUGGUAUAAGCGGGAGCAGGAAUACGGCGACGAUUCGCCUGGAUCUGAUACCGGUCAGAAACUCUAAGGAGGACCUUCCUGGCCUGAUACCAGGUCCGGUGGCAACGACGAAUGUGGGCCUGGACAGAAGGAACCGAAAGAUCCCUCUCCUGAGAAGGAAACAAGGGAGGUUGGUAUCCGUACAGGCAUUGGAAGUGGGACAUCCCAGUGGCAGAUGAAGGAAGGGUAUUAUGGGCGUACUCGAUCCAGGGUAAUUGAGAUGACCACGAGGUGGGAUCAGAGGAGACAAGACAACGCAGCGUGGACUCCAUCUUCUGGUUGGCCCUCUCCGCCAGACCAUUAGAUUGUGGGUGAAAUCCAGAAGUGAGACUGACUGUAGCUCCAAUGGCCAAACAGAAGGAUCUCCAGACAGCAGAGGUAAACUGAGGACCACGGUCAGAAACAAUGUCACUGGGCAAUCCGUGGACCCUGAAAACCUCCCUAACCAGGAUCUCGGACGUCUCCGUGGCAGAUGGAAGCUUGGAGAGAGGGACAAAAUGAACAAACUUGCUGAAUCUGUCCACAAUGGUCAGAAUGACCGUGUUCCCAACAGAAGGGGGCAAUCCCGUGACAAAAUCCAGGGCCAGAUGCGACCAAGGUCGCAGAGGAAUAGGUAGGGGGUGAAGAAGCCCAGAGCUGGGCCGAUUGGUACUUUUGUUCUGAGCACAAACAGGACAUGCGGCAACAAACCUCCGGGUAUCUUCUCCCAUGAUCUCCCUCGUACUUCUCCGGUGUCGGAACCUUGGGCUCACGGAAGGAACCCGCUCCCGAAUCGGCAGGUGAUAUAGGUGAAACAGGUGGUGGAUGAUCCGCCGGCAACCUGAGCCGAUCCUGGAUACUCGUUAAUCUAUCUGCUAAGUUCCGGAUUGAACCCGCUAUCUCGUGUAGCGCCGUGUUGUGUUGUCCCAACAUCUUCUCCUGCUGGGUAAUUGUAUGGCAAACGGGGUCCAGGUCCGCUGGGUUCAUCACUGGCCGGAUCGUUCUGUCACGUUCUUUCAAAAUCGAACCCAGAAGCAGACCAGGACAAGGAGAGUAGGAAGAAGGUGAGUAUUUAUUUACAAGUGAAUAUGAAUGGGUAGAUAUAUCCAGGUGGCGUAGCGGGCAGCGGUGGUGAGUUGAUGGGAGUAAAUAGGUGGAUCCAAUGGGGUAGCGGAAUUCUCCGACGACCAGGCGGGAAUGGGGUAAAUGAUCCGGGUGAGUAACUGAAGACAGAACAAGCGGAGGUAAUUUUAAGGCAAGCAAUACGUAAAAAACAACAAAACAAAUUCUAUCUAACUUGAGGCUGAUACUAUGGCACGACAUACUGUUCAUGGCUAACGAUCCGGCAGGGAAUGGAUGUCAGGUCAGAGCUUUUGAAGGGGAGAGGUGAUGAUCAGGACAGGUGUGCAGAUUACUGAUGGGAUACAGGGGCGGGUGAACAUCGAUCUCCCAACAAGUCAAUUCGCCCGGCAACCAGACAGGGUGCGUUCCAGGACACCGGAAACACACUCCAGGACAGAAACACAGGCAAACACAGACUCAGAAAGCGGGAUCCGUGACACCGUCAAUAUUCAAUGUUUCCUAAAUGGCUAUUAAUCUGUUCAGUUCUCCUCCAUUUUGUUUUAUUCUGUCCUCAGAUGGGGAGGAUAACAUGUCCUCUGCUGCUGGUUGUUGGACAAGAUGAUCAGAAUUGGGCUGCUGUCGAAUCAGCUGAUGAUAUGAAGCAGAUGAUGGAGAGAGCAGGGAACAGUCACCUACUGACCACUCUGUCCUACCCUGGAGCUGG